AUACGUAGGGGGCAAGCGUUAUCCGGAUUUACUGGGUGUAAAGGGAGCGUAGACGGCAAAGCAAGUCUGAAGUGAAAGCCCCGGGCUCAACCCGGGAAUUGCUUUGGAAACUGUUUAGCUAGAGUGCAGGAGAGGUAAGCGGAAUUCCUAGUGUAGCGGUGAAAUGCGUAGAUAUUAGGAGGAACACCGGUGGCGAAGGCGGCUUACUGGACUGUAACUGACGUUGAGGCUCGAAAGCGUGGGGAGCAAACAGGAUUAGAUACCCUGGUAGUCCACGCUGUAAACGAUGAAUACUAGGUGUGGGGGGACUGACCCCCUCCGUGCCGCAGUUAACACAAUAAGUAUUCCACCUGGGGAGUACGAUCGCAAGAUUGAAACUCAAAGGAAUUGACGGGG
rnacentral:rRNA from 1 species